rnacentral:lncRNA from 1 species
UUUUUUUUUUUUUUUUUUUUUUUUUUUUUGCUUUUUUAGGACCACACCCGUGGCAUAUGGAGGUUCCCACCCUAGGGGUUGAAUCAGAGCUGUAGCUGCUGGCCUACGCCACAGCCACAGUAAUGCCAGAUCCAAGUCGCAUCUGCAACCUACACCACAGCUCACGGCAGUGCCAGAUCCUUAACCCACUAAGUGAGGCCAGGGAUUGAACCUGCAUCCUCAUGAAUCUUAGAUUCGUUUCCGCUGCACCACAAUGGGUACGCCCGCAAGUUCUAAUUUUUAUAAUUUCCCCACUUCGAAAAAGCCCAUUGUUCAAAAACAGUAAAAAAAAAAAAAUAGUAAUAAUAAUUCAAAAGUCAAAACCCUUAUUCUAAUUUCUCUCCACCCACUGGUCUGGGUAGCAGAAUGAGCAGGCUGGAAUUAGAUAAGUAUUUCCAAAUGGCCUUCACACUUGCUAUUUUCCAAGACCCUUAUAAUAACUUUGGGAUUUUCUAUCUAAAAUUGAAAUAUGAGGAGUUCCCAUCAUGGUGCAGUGGAAACGAAUCCAACUAGGAAUCAUGAGAUUGCUGGAACAUUGACUGCUUCCUCACUGUUUCUCCACUCCUGUAGCCCCUCCAGGACCCACCAGCAGGAAGAGACUGGGAUAAAGUGAGUGAGGCACUUGCCUUGGGGCACACAAUUUAAGGUGACAUCAAAAACUCAAUAAUCAAGAUAGUGUAUUAAUGUGCUUUUUUUAAAAAAAUGAAUGCAGAAAAAGAUAUGGUGAACAAAUUAUCACAAUAUUAAACAGAAGGAGGGGUAACAGUGUGGGAAUGAGCCAUAUUUCAGUAUGAGGCAAAAGGAAACAUCAGAAAUACUGAUCUCGCAGGCCGUGAGGUCUCCUACAGCUUGUUCAAAGCCUGGGUCCAGCACACGAACACCUGUGUAGCAGAGGGCAUCUCCGUUCAUGGCAUUGAUGAAACAGGUGGUGACAUCUGCAAAUUCCACCUUACCCUCCAUUUGUCCAGAUCUUCAUCCUUGGGUGUCCCAGUCUGUCAAUACUCCCUUCAAUAUCCAGAUGUCAUUCUGCUGGGCCCAGAGAAACUUCAUGCUCAGCCCUCAAUGCAUAAACCAGACACCGUGGCAACGAGCCGCACAGAGGCUCUAGCAACAGCCCCAUACUCUGCAUCGCUGUUGUGGUUCCGCUUCUUUGACUGAUAAAGGCGUGAUUACUGUAUACGAACUAGAUUAUGUCAACUAGGAAUACAACACAAGUGGAUCCAGGUGUGGUGAAGUCAAAUUUUACAGAGAAACAUCUACAGCUUUUUCUUGGUCGGGACAAGCCAUCUCUUAGACCUGGUCAAGAUGUUGUCUGGUGCGUUCUUUUGCUAAAUGACCAAAGGCUUCUUAUCAAUGGAGCCUACUGGUUAUAUUCCUUAGAAAAUAGAAAACUCAGAUGUCCCUGUGUCUCUACCAGGACAAAAGUAUUCCUCUUCAAGCUUAGUUUGGUUUUUUUCUUUAUCAGCAAUAAAGACAAAGCCAUAGUCCUUGGAAGAAGGCAUAGAACGUGCUUAAUAAACUCAAAUUCCACAAACCUGAACCCCCUUGGAGGAAGGUAUUGUUAUGUUGCAAAGUUCAGUUAUACUUAAAAUACAAUUAAAAGAGAAAAUUGUUUAUCUUUAAGGACUUUUGUGAGGGUUCCAAGCUAUGAAACCAUGGAUCCAUCUCUGAGUAAUCCUGACAUUGUUAUGAGUCUUAGAGCUGGUUAAGGUGGACAGACUAGGCUCGUGAUCAUGAAAAAACUCUCACACAAUCUUUGGGGAAGACACCAGAUUUUUUUUUAUGGAAUUUGGACUCACCUGGAUAAACUACAGUUGAUGCAAAUCCUUGCUCCUAAGAUUUGCUAUGAGAAGAACCAGGACACAAAGAGGCAGACACCCAAAGACAGCUGUUGACGCUUAGAGACCUCACUGUCAAGGGAACCAUUCUCGACACACCUAGACCAGGGUUUCUCCAUCUCAGCACGAUUGGUAUCUUUGUGGGAGAGCUCUUAGGCGGGUGGGGGGCUCUUCUACACACUGUAGGAUAUUGAGCAGUACCCCUGGCUUCCACCAGCCCCACCUUCCCCAGUGAUGCAACCAAAUGUAACUCUAGACAUUGCCGAAUGUCUGGACAAAACUGCCCUCGAUAGAACCGCUGGUGUAGAUGACCACACCGUCUCCUAGCUACCAGGGCCGAUGCUGGGGUAGCAAAGCCAGAAAUGAAGGCCAGCCCAAGGGUGGAUAUGGAGAGUUCAGAGGCAGAUAUGGAUGAAGGCUGCCUACAGAAUAAAGGCAGAUUGGAGACAGGGAGGGGCUGACACCAAGUCCAUCACCAGGAUACCAUUUGCCAGAUAAGAGUCAAGUCAAGCUCAAAGGAGGGGCAAACCAGAACCCGGCACCAUAUUUCACGCUGAUGUGGUAGACAC